UCCCCAUUUUUAAAAAAAAAAUAGUAAAAAAUCGAUAUAAACUUAAAAGUUUAUUUUCUGAUUUUUAAAAGUUAAUUGAAACUGUAGUCUAGACUGACUCUUAAUUCCGCCUUGUAUUCAUUUUAUUACCCAACAGUUCGUGUUUAUGAAGUUUAUUUAUGCUUGUAGUCAUUGCCAUUUAUCUACAAUGACUUGUAACAGUUUCUUUAACACUCACAAAACCAAAGAAUUUAUCUUCUCAACUUCAUUAACACUUAAACAAUCCAUUGUCAAACUCAAUCUUCUCCGUUGAAGUUUCUUGAUGGGAUUACCAUUGUUGGCCCUUCUGAAACUCAAGAUCCUGGCCUCGACUUCCCAGACUCUCUCUUUCACUCCAUUGAUCACCUGUCUAGUAGGUCCAUUUGUGCUCAAAGUGCUGCUCAAUCUGAGAACCAUUCCUUCGGUUUACGACGACGUGUCGCAUGCCUCGAGGCUGUUCUUGUUCCAGGUGAACCAGAUUGUGUUCCAUAUUAGACGAGAAGAUCUCGGGGAUCGGAGCAGAUGGGAGAGGGCUAUUCGGUUGUUGUCUGAAAUUCUUGUUAGUAGUCGAAGAUCGACACCGGCUGAUGAGGCUCGCAGCUUGCAUGAUCUCUCCAUGAUAACACUCUGAUCAUCAAGCAGUAGGCACAUUUGUACGUUGUUUUCGUGUUUGUUAUGGUGCAAGUACUCGUUUUGAUUGCGAAUUUUCGGACUUCAUGUUCGUCAGUUGAUACUUGAUAUUGCUGGUUCGGUUGUAGUUUUCGAACUUGUUUAUUUUUCUGUUCAUCUUUGUUUCGAAGUGAAAAUUUCUAGUUCGAUUUUAUUACUGUGUUGUAGUACUAAUCGAUUCCAAGAAGAAAAUUCCACUGAAAUUUAUAUAAUCCUUCAGUUCUUAGCAAGAGAUAUUGAAUCCGAGAAUUAAAACAUUCUGCAUAUUUACCUAUUACUCAAAUUCUUUCAUUCUGAUCGAGGACGAGAGGGGUAUCUGCUAGACUAGCUAUCACGAAGAUCAAUAUAUAUAUGAUGUUUCGGUACUUACUAAAAGAGAUCUCAAGUGAAAGUUG
rnacentral:lncRNA from 1 species